AGUUAAUUAGCCAAAAAGGCAUUAUAUCUUGAAAAUAUAAUUAAGAAACAAAACUCUAUUAACUU
rnacentral:tRNA from 1 species